rnacentral:lncRNA from 1 species
GAUUCUCCCUCCUUUUGCUUGAUGUUGAUAAGAGACUCCAAACCUCUCCGGAGAUGCCGGCUGCUGAUGAAAUGAGCCACAAACUAGUGGCUCAUCUGAUCGAAGGAGAAAAUAGUACCCGACUUCAGUGCUGAGUACCAAUUUCUUGCUGCUCCCUUCAAGGUGGAUGGGAAGGCUCAGCAUAGGAUGGCGUCUGGCGCACCAUGAAGCAGCAUCAUUAUCCAGAAGGCCUCCAGGUGGUCAACG